rnacentral:rRNA from 2 species
GAGUUUGAUCCUGGCUCAGAACGAACGCUGGCGGCGUGCUUAACACAUGCAAGUCGAACGUGAUCCAGAGCUUGCUCUGGUGAAAGUGGCGCACGGGUGAGUAACGCGUGGAUAACCUGCCCUGGUAUCUGGGAUAACAUCUCGAAAGGGGUGCUAAUACCGGAUAAGCCUACGGGAUCUUCGGAUUCUGCAGGAAAAGGAGGCCUCUAUUUAUAAGCUUCCGUAUCAUGAUGGGUCCGCGUACCAUUAGCUAGUUGGUGGGGUAAUGGCCUACCAAGGCGACGAUGGUUAGCUGGUCUGAGAGGAUGAUCAGCCACACUGGAACUGAGACACGGUCCAGACUCCUACGGGAGGCAGCAGUGGGGAAUUUUGCGCAAUGGGGGAAACCCUGACGCAGCAACGCCGCGUGAGUGAUGAAGGCUUUCGGGUCGUAAAGCUCUGUCAGAGGGGAAGAAAUGGGUCGUGCUAAUAUCGCGACUUCUUGACGGUACCCUCAAAGGAAGCACCGGCUAACUCCGUGCCAGCAGCCGCGGUAAUAC